rnacentral:misc_RNA from 1 species
GUACAACCUAAUCUGGAUGCAAUUUGACAUAAUUUUGGAGCCUUUUGAAUAGACUUCCAAAACCUAACUUGCCCUCGAUUGUCCUUGCUUGAACUUGAUGUUGCCACACUAAUGUUUGACACUAAAUUUUAUGAUGACAAAUUGAACCUUUCCUCAAUUUUAUUCUUUCCAUUCAAAGAUUGAACUACCCUGUUAACAUGGGAACCCUCUUGUUUCCUUGAUUACUUCUCUCACUUGAGUUAAGAUCUCCAGGUGUA